AAGAUAAACUGAAGAGUUGGAGUGAAAGAAGAGAAGCUGCCGGCCACCCACCGCGUCCUUUUUUGCCGGACAAUAUGAGGCGGUGUGGGAGCGUAAGCCCUAGGGUGUCUGUGGCAAAAAAGUGCAAGUACUCAUGUCUCGUUGAAACAUGCUGGCGCCGCGGUACACAGUGGGCAGACGAUCCGCGCGCGCGGAAGGAUCCGCCCAUUUCCGUGUGACGUCGAGCUAAGAGCAUACAUUGCAAUAAAAAAAUGCGUGAUGCCAGAGGAAUCAUCGGCGGGGUUUCAUUCUGUCCCCUCUUGGCAGCACACACGGAAAGUGACGCGAAAAGCUGCGCAAACAGUUCUCUCCGUUUCCGCGCCCACCUUGAUCUGGAAGUGUAGAAAUGUGUGCGCUUCCAGAAGACACAGAGAGAAGGAAAGUGAUCGGAGACGACGGAAGGGCCUCACGCACACACGCACACACACACACAUACACAAGCCACACAGUCACUUUUUAUUAUUUCGCUUUUAUAUUCAAAAAGCGGAGCAGAGAGA
ensembl:ncRNA F13H6.9 ncRNA